rnacentral:rRNA from 1 species
UGAAUACGAGAUGCUACGGCGUCGAAGCAGUCUAUGUCAUACUUCCAAGAAAAGCUUGCACUGUCAUAAACAAAUAAUGCCUGUACCAUAACCGACACAGGUGGGUAGGUAGAGUAUACUAAGGGGCGCGAGAUAACUCUCUCUAAGGAACUCGGCAAAAUGACUCCGUAACUUCGGGAGAAGGAGUGCCUUAUUUAUAAGGUUGCAAUAACAAGAUCCAAGCAACUGUUUACCAAAAACACAGGUCUCCGCUAAGUCGUAAGACGAUGUAUGGGGGCUGACGCCUGCCCAGUGCCAGAAGGUUAAAGAAGUUGGUUAGCAUCCGCGAAGCUGAUAACUGAAGCCCUGGUGAACGGCGGCCGUAACAAUAACGGUCCUAAGGUAGCGAAAUUCCUUGUCGGGUAAGUUCCGACCCGCACGAAAGGCGUAAUGAUUUGGAUACUGUCUCGGAGAGGGGCUCGGUGAAAUAGACUUGUCUGUGAAGAUGCGGACUACCUGCACCAGGACAGAAAGACCCUAUGAAGCUUUACUGUGACCUGAAAUUGAAAUUGGACUUUACUUGCGCAGUAUAGGUGGGAGGCGUUGAGAAUAUUCUUGCGGGAUUAUUGGAGCCAUCAGUGAGAUACCACUCUUGUAAUGUUAGGUUUCUAACUUUGUAUCAUUAUCUGGUCAAAGAACAGUUUCAGGCGGGCAGUUUGACUGGGGCGGUCGCCUCCUAAACGGUAACGGAGGCGCACAAAGGUUUCCUCUGAACGGGUAGAAAUCGUAUCUAGAGUGUAAAGGCAUAAGGAAGCUUGACUGUGAGACCUACAAGUCGAGCAGGGACGAAAGUCGGUCUUAGUGAUCUGACGGUGCUGAGUGGAAAGGCCGUCACUCAACGGAUAAAAGUUACUCUAAGGAUAACAGGCUGAUCUCCCCCAAGAGUUCACAUCGACGGGGAGGUUUGGCACCUCGAUGUCGGCUCAUCGCAUCCUGGGGCGGUAGUACGUCCCAAGGGUUGGGCUGUUCGCCCAUGAAAGCGGUACGCGAGCUGGGUUCAGAACGUCGUGAGACAGUCCGGUCCAUAUCCGGUGUAGGCGUUAGAAUAUUGAGAGGAGCCUUCUUUAGUACGAGAGGACCGAGAAGGACAUACCUCUGGUGUACCAGUUAUCGUGCCAACGGUAAACGCUGGGUAGCUAUGUGUGGAGUGGAUAACCGCUGAAAGCAUCUAAGUGGGAAGCCCACCUCAAGAUAAG